rnacentral:tRNA from 2 species
GCGCCCGUAGCUCAGCUGGAUAGAGCGUCGCCCUCCGGAGGCGAAGGUCAGGGGUUCGAAUCCCUUCGGGCGCGCCA